rnacentral:tRNA from 1 species
GGGUCAGUAUGCAUAGCUGGUGAUUGCAGCGGUCCGUAAAACCGUGACAUCAGAAACACCGUUGGUUCGAGUCCAACCUGACCCACCA